rnacentral:rRNA from 1 species
AAUCAACGCUGGCGGCGUGCCUCAGACAUGCAAGUCGAACGAUUAAACUUCCCUUCGGGGAAGAUAUAAAGUGGCGCACGGGUGAGUAACACGUAGGUAAUGUACCUUUGGGUGGGGAAUAACUUAGGGAAACUUAAGCUAAUACCGCAUAAUGCAGCGGCUCCUUCGGGAGACAGUUGUUAAAGAUUUAUCGCCUAAAGAGCAGCCUGCGGCAGAUUAGCUAGUUGGUAAGGUAACGGCUUACCAAGGCUACGAUCUGUAUCCGACCUGAGGGGGUGGUCGGACACACUGACACUGAAUAACGGGUCAGACUCCUACGGGAGGCAGCAGUCGGGAAUUUUGGGCAAUGGGCGAAAGCCUGACCCAGCAACGCCGCGUGAAGGAUGAAGUCUUUCGGGAUGUAAACUUCGUAAGAAUAGGAAGAAUAAAUGACGGUACUAUUUGUAAGGUCCGGCUAACUACGUG